rnacentral:rRNA from 1 species
GGAUGCGAUCAUACCAGCACUAAAGCACCGGAUCCCAUCAGAACUCUGAAGUUAAGCGUGCUUGGGCGAGAGUAGUACUAGGAUGGGUGACCUCCUGGGAAGUCCUCGUUUUGCAUUCC